CUUCACUUCCUAUUAUUGGCAAAAGCUUUGAAGUGCUUUCGAUCUUCCUUUGUUCUAUUCAGCCUUCAGUUUUCCAUUUAACCUUGUCUUCCGAAUAGCGGCCUAUCGUAUAUUUGCUCGGCACGAAGCCAAUGUAUUGUCAUUUUGCAAUAUAAAUGCGGUGCAACGGAAGUGACCAACCUGCUGCGGAAAACUUGGCAUGACUCGGUUACAAAAUAUUUUGACAGAGCUUCUCGACUGAACAACAACCAAUACAGCGUACAAUGACGGCAAAGCGCUUGGCUCUUUGCUUUCUCGUACUUACAUUUCUGCCAGCAGCACUAUCAGCCUAUGUGAAGGGGAAGAAUGGCAGAAGCAAUAUCGUUGCCAAUAGAAUGC
rnacentral:lncRNA from 1 species